rnacentral:rRNA from 1 species
GUACACUCCUGCGGGAGGCAGCAGUGGGGAAUAUUGCACAAUGGGCGCAAGCCUGAUGCAGCCAUGCCGCGUGUAUGAAGAAGGCCUUCGGGUUGUAAAGUACUUUCAGCGGGGAGGAAGGCAAUACGGUUAAUAACCGUGUUGAUUGACGUUACCCGCAGAAGAAGCACCGGCUAACUCCGUGCCAGCAGCCGCGGUAAUACGGAGGGUGCAAGCGUUAAUCGGAAUUACUGGGCGUAAAGCGCACGCAGGCGGUCUGUCAAGUCGGAUGUGAAAUCCCCGGGCUCAACCUGGGAACUGCAUUCGAAACUGGCAGGCUUGAGUCUUGUAGAGGGGGGUAGAAUUCCAGGUGUAGCGGUGAAAUGCGUAGAGAUCUGGAGGAAUACCGGUGGCGAAGGCGGCCCCCUGGACAAAGACUGACGCUCAGGUGCGAAAGCGUGGGGAGCAAACAGGAUUAGAAACCCGAGUAGUCCCAUG